rnacentral:rRNA from 1 species
UACGGAGGAUGCGAGCGUUAUCCGGAUUUAUUGGGUUUAAAGGGUGCGUAGGCGGACUGUCAAGUCAGCGGUAAAAUACGGGGGCUCAACCUCCGCCCGCCGUUGAAACUGACGGUCUUGAGUGGGCGAGAAGUAUGCGGAAUGCGUGGUGUAGCGGUAAAAUGCGUAGAUAUAUGGAAGAACACCAGUGGCGAAGGCGGCCGCCUGGCCUGUUGCUGACGCUGAGGCACGAAAGCGUGGGGAGCAAAUAGG